UGAGGAAUAUUGGUCAAUGGACGCAAGUCUGAACCAGCCAAGCAGCGUGCAGGAUGACGGCCCUAUGGGUUGUAAACUGCUUUUAUAUGGGGCUAAAGUGGGGAACGUGUUCCCUUUUGCAGGUACCAUAUGAAUAAGGACCGGCUAAUUCCGUGCCAGCAGCCGCGGUAAUACGGAAGGUUCGGGCGUUAUCCGGAUUUAUUGGGUUUAAAGGGUGCGUAGGCCGUUUGGUAAGCGUGUUGUGAAAUGUAGGAGCUCAACUUCUAGAUUGCAGCGCGAACUGUCAGACUUGAGUGCGCACAACGUAGGCGGAAUUCAUGGUGUAGCGGUGAAAUGCUUAGAUAUCAUGAAGAACUCCGAUUGCGAAGGCAGCUUACGGGAGCGCAACUGACGCUGAAGCUCGAAGGUGCGGGUAUCGAACAGG
rnacentral:rRNA from 1 species